rnacentral:lncRNA from 1 species
GGGAGUUUUGUCUCCUAUUUUCAUCUUAAAGAUGGCCAAAGUUGUUUGGUUUAGCAUUUCAAAAGCAAAAUAAAUAAUGCAUUUGCUUCAGUGGAAAAAAACCCAGGCAAAUUUUCCAAACGCUUAUCUAUUCUCUAGAUGUUUAUGGACAUAUUACUCCAGUUUUUAAUGCCACAUACUCAAACUAGCAAUACUCAAACUAGGAAGGCCAAGUUCUGCCCACAGGGUAGCUGAAGUGCACAUUUCAACUCAGAGUUCAUUUGCCACCAGAUCCUGAUAGCCAUCGUGAUACUUUCAAGUGCCCAGGAUUUUCUGUUUUUUCACUUAGAAACGUGAUUACUUGACCGGGGCAGGUAUAUUGUAGGUAACUGGGGUAGGGUGGGCACACGAACCAGUGGACAGGAAGCAGGACACAGAGAAGACGCUUCCUGCCCUGGUCUGGAACUCCUCAACUGCCAAUCUUUGCUGAGGAUCAAGACACAUUUGUUUCUGGAAGGUGCUGGGGGAUUAGAAGGGGUGAGUGGGAAACUACCAGGCAGAUGAAAUGACUUUGUUUCUUUCUCCCCCCUUGAGCUUCUAGGUUUUCUCCCUUAAAACAUUUUAUGAAGUUGUGACUAUUCAGUUUCAAGGGAAAACCCAAUCAAAAGAUUCCCCAAUCUAAACAUAUACAUUUGGCAUUUGGUGAGCCACGUCUGCUUUUCUCCUCUCCUUGAGAGUGACCGUAACUCCCUAUGGCCGUUUUGCUUUUCUCAAAUGCUCAGGUGGAUGCUGCAGCCCCGCUCCCCCAGCCUACUCUUAGCUUGUCUGAGACCUCUGCAGUGAGAGGUGAGCGCCUCAGCCCCAGGGGUCCCCUUCUACUGGGGGCCUCGGCUCCAGGAUCCAGACUUUCAGCUUCAUACCCAGCAGGUAGCUAGGCUGCCUGCUGCGCCUCGUGUCUCAGGAGGGAAGUGUUCUGUGUUGUGUUUGAUGUGGGUGUCGCAGUCACUAAGGAGACAGGUAAAUUUCCCAGUGCUGGAAUCAGAUUGGUGAGGAAGACCUGCUCCUGAGGCAACUGGCCUGCCUCCCGGCUUCUUUCUCCAAGGCCAUUUCAAUUUAAGAAAACAAAAGAUGAUCCUGUGAACACUGUAUCAGGCAUCAUUACUGGACUGAAAAAAGGAUCACUUGAUGGACAUGCCUGGCGUUUUGUUUAGAAGUAUUUCUUCUCUGGCCUUAGAAGAUUAGUUUUCAAAGCGAUGGUAAAAUCAUUGAUGUAUGUCUUUUCAAGAAAAAGAAAAAAAAAAGACUCCUAAAUGCCAAACAUUUGCUCUUUGGAGCAUAGCAAGAAGAAAGGGAGAGGACCAGACGGCCACAUCCUAAGAACAGAGUAUUGUCCAGUGGGUGUCUGCCGCUUCCUCAUGCCUUGCUAUAAGAAAGCUCGUAAAAAGGAAGAAAUCUAAAACUAGAACAAUUCUAUAUUCACAGUUUCUCUGACAUUAAAAAGUACUCAAGAGAAGAGUUUUUUUUUUAAUUUAAAGAAACAUCUGUCCAACAUGGAUGAUUUUGAAGAAGAGCACUCCCCUUUGUCCAGAGCCAUAGAAAGAUAAUUUAAUUACACUUAUCAUUACACCCUCCCCAAAUUAGACUACAAAUGGAUCUUGAUUUCUCAUGAUUUUUUCACUUUACAAAAUAAUCUUAAAGUUUAGGAGGAAGAAAAGAUGCUUAAGAAUAAUCAAGAAUGCUUGGAAAAGAGGAAGAAAAAGGGAAAUUUCUCCUACUGAACCGGUAGUGCUGGGAAGGGAAGAGCGUGGUCCCUUUAAAUGACAGGGAAGUGGGGCAGGGAAGUGCUGGGUAGAGAAAGGCGAGGUCUCUGUCUAGGGCUCCACCCCCAGGGACCUAGGUGAGGACAGGCACUUCUGCCUUCAAGCCCAAAUGUUGCAUUUUCCAAGACCACCCUGGCCUGCCACACCCCCAUUCUGGGCCUAUAAAAACCCAAGACCCUAGCAGGCAGACACAAAAGCGGCUGGACGUCAUGAAGAACACAUGGACAGAAGACACAAGCAGCUGGUAGUGGAGAGCACACGGCGGAAUGACGCAGAGUUUUACUGGAGCAGGCCGCCAAAGGACCCGACUCCAGGGGAAAACCAUCUCCCUUCUUGCUCCCCCGUCUGCUGAGAGCUACUUCUGCUCAAUAAAACCUUGCACUCAUUCUCCAAGCCCAUGUGUGAUCCAUUCCCGGGAUACAGAAAGCCCUCUGUCCUUGUGAUAAAGAAGGGGGUCUAAUUGAACUGGUUAACACAAGCUGCCUAUAGACAGCAAACCAAAAGAGCACCCUGUAACACACGCCCACUUGGGUUUCGGCUGUAAACAUUCAUCCCUAGGCACUGCCAUUGGAUCGGAGGCCCACAGUCUGCCCAUGUCUACGUUCCCCUAGGAGGUUUGAGGAGCGGGUGGCUGAAAAAGCUAGCCACACCCCCAGCGCAUGCCCUGCAGGGGGGACAAAGGAAACUUUCCAGUUUCACUACCACCAUUAGAAUAUCUUACAAAGUCGGCUAGGCGUGGUGGCUCACGCCUGUAAUCCCAGCACUUCUGGAGGCUGAGGCCGGCGGAUCGCCUGAGGCCAGGAGUUCAAGGUCAGCCUGCUCAACAUGGCGAAAACCCAUCUCUACUAAAAAUAUAAAAAUGAGCUAGACAUGGUGGUGCAUGCCUGCAAUCCCAGCUACUCUGGAGGCUGAGGCAGGAGAAUUGUUUGAACCUAGGAGGCAGAGGCUGGACUAAUAAUCAUGCCCGUAUCUAAGCUAUUAUCUGUAAAAAGUUGUACCUAUUUGCAUUGCACUCUAGCCUGGGCGACAGAGCAAGACUAUCUUAUGGUAAUGGUGGCAUAGGAUUAAUGAAACGGAAUAGAAGUCCUAGAAAUAUUCCCAAGUAAAUAUAAGAAGUUUGUGUAUGAUAAAAGUGGCAUUUAAAAAUAAAAGGAAGAUGUAGUAUAUUAUUCAAUAUUUUGGUAUUGUGGCAACUGCCUAUUCGUUUAGGGGAGGAGACAAAAGGUAGUCUCUGAGUCAUACAAGUGAAAGUAUAAAUUUGAGGUUUAAUAAUAAGUAUUAAAAGGAAACAAUUAUAUAGAUGUAAUAUAUUUAUAAGUAUGAAAAACCAAGAAUAAAUUUUAGAUGUAAUAUAUUUAUACAUAUAAAAAACGAAAUGAUUAUUUUCUAAGAAUAUGCUGGUGGAUAUUUAUACAAUAUUGAAUUGGGAAAGCAUCAGUCCUGAGGCAAUAAUCAUAAAAUAAAUGAAUUAAGUUUACUACGGAAAUACUAAAAUUGUCUGCCCAUCAAAACAUACCAAAAAUUAUGACUAAGAAGAAAGGACAAAUUGGGUAACAUAUUUAAAUAUACAUAUACAUACAUAUAUAUACACACACACACACACAUAUAUAUAUACACACAUACAUACAAUAUGCUCAACAUAUAAAAAGUUUUAACAACUUUGUAAGAAAAAGAUUAACACGGAUAAUUUACAAAAGAAAAAUAAUGCAAUGAAAAAUAAUUUACCUACCUGCAUUAGGGUUCUCUUCGAGGGAAAAAAUAGGAGAUAUAUAUGUAAAGGGGAGCUUAUUAAGUAUUAACUUACGUGAUUACAAGGUCCCAAAAUAGGCUGUCUGCAAGCUGAGGAGCAAGGAGAGGCAAUCCAAGUUACAAAACUAAAGAACUUGGAGUCCGAUGUUUGAGGGCAGGAAGCACCCAGCAUGGGAGAAAAAUGUAGGCUGGGAAGCUAGGCCUGUCUCUCCUUUUCUGCCUGCUUUAUAUUCGCUGGCAGCUGAUUAAAUUGUGCCCACCAGAUUAAGGGUGGAUCUGCCUUCCCUGGCCCACUGGCUCAAAUGUUAAUCUCUUUUGCAACACCCUCACAGACACACCCAAGAUCAAUACUUUGUAUCCUUCAAUCCAAUCAAGUUGACAUUCAGUAUUAACCAUCAUACUAACCAAACAGCAUUUAAAAAUGUUUAAUACUCAGUAAUAGUUAGGAUGUGGAAGAAUGGGAAUUCUCACACACUGCUGAUUACAAUGCAAAUAGGUACAACUUUUUACAGAUAAUAGCUUAGAUACGGGCAUGAUUAUUAGUCCAGCAAUGCCACUUCUAGAAGUUUUUGCUAAGGAAAUAACCCUGGAUAUAAAUAAGAUUUAGCUAUAAAGAUGUCUGCAAACUGUUGUUUGCAAUAUUCAAAACAUUAAAAAAUAAUCCUGUAUGUAUACAAGAAGAUUAAGCAAUUAUUUAAAAUGUUUCUGUAGUAAAUAAUAUUUAAUAAGUAUUGUCAUAAUAUUUUGCCAAAUGAAAAAAAA